GUACUUCUGAAGAGUCCCAAACUAGGACGAAACAGCUUGCUGUCUAGUAC
rnacentral:hammerhead_ribozyme from 1 species